rnacentral:misc_RNA from 1 species
GGGCCAAUGGGAACAUCAA